rnacentral:lncRNA from 1 species
AGGAAACAAUUGAGAAAUCGAACAUAAUAAGAUUGAUAACAAAAGAGACCCAUAAAUAUUUUAGAAAAAAGGAAUAAUACCAUACCAGCAUAUGUCAUAUCUUCUUUCAGGAGUAUAUAGAUUUUCUUUUUCUCAUGGCCUAGUAUGGAAUUUUCUUUGAUGUCCCAUGAUAUAAUAUAACCUAUACGUCUUAUGUAAAAUUGGGCUUCCAUUUAAUGUCAAAUCCAAGAGCAACACAACCUUCUUUCCUCAUCUUUUCCUCAAUAAAUUUUAAAAGCUGAAAAAUGAAGCUCCCCAUCAACAGAACAUCAACAAGAAGCAAUAAAAUUGACACAAAGCUUCAAUUUUAAAUUUUGACUUGGCGUGUUGAAGGACCAAAAGUUCGGUUCAAUAGGUGAUUGAUGUUCUUGACUGUAAGAGAGAGGAAGGGUUUUGUUCUCUAAUAUCUCUCCUUUUGGAAAUUGUGAAAAACAGCGCUGAUCAGGGAGAGGUCCAAUUAUUAUUAUUAUUAUUUUUUUUUUUUGUGUGGUUUCGAAAAAUAUCGAGAAGAAGAAGAAGGAACCUCUACUGUAAAUGCCCUAUAUUAUUUUUGUUUAUGUACUUUCCUUUAUCUUUUGUGGUAUGGGAUUAUGAUUUUUGAAGAAGAAAAAGGAGUUUUUUUAAUCGUUGCUAUGAUUUUUUGUUUGAAGAAGAAAGAAAGAUCCUUUUUGAGGUGCGACUGUCUCUAUCUAAUGGGAUAGGGGAAUCCGUUCUUUUAUU